CAUACAGUAAGUUGGCUGCUUCCCCUUUAAGAUGCUUAUAUGCAAAGAAGGAACUUUAGACUUAAUGCCAACAAGAAGACCUCCAGUUCGAACUACUUUUCAAAAGGAAUUCAACCUAAAAGUAAAGUGGUGAGAGGGAGAGAGACGCACAGACAGAACAUCUAAAAGCACAAGAAGGUUUACAGGAUCACAGUGACUUCCAGUGAAAAUGACUUUAUGUUGUUUGAAAAUUGGCCCCAAAAUCUUGGGGGUUGUCCAAGCCAUCAUCGGAAUCGUGAUAUUCAUAUUUGGCUUUGCAAACAAAGAUAGUGACACUGUGUCUGAGUCCACUGGCGUCACAUACUGGGAAUCUAUCACUUUUAUCUGCUCUGGUAUCCUGUCAGCUGUUGCCGGAGGUCGUUGUCAUGCCUGUUUGAAAAAAGUCUCGAUGAUUAUGAACCUGUUCAGCACCGGGGGUGGGAUUGCAGCGACUGGUCUGUUCUCCGCUGAUCUGCACAAACUGUUGAAUGAGCUGAAACAGCUUUCAAUACAUGAUUUUAAGCCAUUUCAGACUACUAGGGGCAACUCCAGCACACUCCUGGUUUUCUCUCUGCUUGAGGUUUGCAUGGCCAUCUGGACAUUUGUAUUAUUCUGGAAAUCCUGAGUCUCCACUAUUAAGGAAUUGAAUUGUUAAGCUGGGACACAGUAAUCAUAAAUUGUAUUUUUUUUUCCACCACAAUUUUAUGAAUCGCCUCAGCAAUCCAAGUGAGGAAAUCCUUAGCUUGCCAUAUUGACAUGAACAAAAAUAAUAAAUCAUAGUUUUAACACAGUCGUUUCUUUUUUCUAGAAGUUUAUUACGAUGUACUUUUCUGAUUUGAAAAUAAACAAUAAUCUCUUACU